GGUUAAGCGACUAAGCGUACACGGUGGAUGCCCUGGCAGUCAGAGGCGAUGAAGGACGUGCUAAUCUGCGAUAAGCGUCGGUAAGGUGAUAUGAACCGUUAUAACCGGCGAUUUCCGAAUGGGGAAACCCAGUGUGUUUCGACACACUAUCAUUAACUGAAUCCAUAGGUUAAUGAGGCGAACCGGGGGAACUGAAACAUCUAAGUACCCCGAGGAAAAGAAAUCAACCGAGAUUCCCCCAGUAGCGGCGAGCGAACGGGGAGGAGCCCAGAGCCUGAAUCAGUGUGUGUGUUAGUGGAAGCGUCUGGAAAGGCGCGCGAUACAGGGUGACAGCCCCGUACACAAAAAUGCACAUACUGUGAGCUCGAUGAGUAGGGCGGGACACGUGGUAUCCUGUCUGAAUAUGGGGGGACCAUCCUCCAAGGCUAAAUACUCCUGACUGACCGAUAGUGAACCAGUACCGUGAGGGAAAGGCGAAAAGAACCCCGGCGAGGGGAGUGAAAAAGAACCUGAAACCGUGUACGUACAAGCAGUGGGAGCCUCUUUUAUGGGGUGACUGCGUACCUUUUGUAUAAUGGGU
rnacentral:rRNA from 1 species